rnacentral:rRNA from 1 species
AGUACGGCCGCAAGGUUAAAACUCAAAUGAAUUGACGGGGGCCCGCACAAGCGGUGGAGCAUGUGGUUUAAUUCGAUGCAACGCGAAGAACCUUACCUGGUCUUGACAUCCACAGAACUUUCCAGAGAUGGAUUGGUGCCUUCGGGAACUGUGAGACAGGUGCUGCAUGGCUGUCGUCAGCUCGUGUUGUGAAAUGUUGGGUUAAGUCCCGCAACGAGCGCAACCCUUAUCCUUUGUUGCCAGCGGUUAGGCCGGGAACUCAAAGGAGACUGCCAGUGAUAAACUGGAGGAAGGUGGGGAUGACGUCAAGUCAUCAUGGCCCUUACGACCAGGGCUACACACGUGCUACAAUGGCAUAUACAAAGAGAAGCGACCUCGCGAGAGCAAGCGGACCUCAUAAAGUAUGUCGUAGUCCGGAUUGGAGUCUGCAACUCGACUCCAUGAAGUCGGAAUCGCUAGUAAUCGUAGAUCAGAAUGCUACGGUGAAUACGUUCCCGGGCCUUGUACACACCGCCCGUCACACCAUGGGAGUGGGUUGCAAAAGAAGUAGGUAGCUUAACCUUCGGGAGGGCGCUUACCACUUUGUGAUUCAUGAC